CAGUAGCCGCGGUAAUACGUAGGUCCCGAGCGUUGUCCGGAUUUAUUGGGCGUAAAGCGAGCGCAGGCGGUUAGAUAAGUCUGAAGUUAAAGGCUGUGGCUUAACCAUAGUACGCUUUGGAAACUGUUUAACUUGAGUGCAAGAGGGGAGAGUGGAAUUCCAUGUGUAGCGGUGAAAUGCGUAGAUAUAUGGAGGAACACCGGUGGCGAAAGCGGCUCUCUGGCUUGUUACUGACGCUGAGGCUCGAAAGCGUGGGGAGCAAACAGGAUUAGAUACCCCAGUAGUCCCUGUCUCUUAUACA
rnacentral:rRNA from 1 species